GGGAGAGAGCAACAGGGAUUGCCUCAGUAACGGCGAGUGAAGCGGCAACAGCCCAGAUUUGAAAUCUGGCCUUCGGGCCCGAGUUGUAAUCUGCAGAUGGGUCUUCCGACAGAGCGCCGUCCAAGUGCCCUGGAACGGGUCGCCGGAGAGGGUGAGAGCCCCGUACCGACGCGCGCCGAGUCUCUGUGAAGCUCAUUCGAAGAGUCGAGUAGUUUGGAAAUGCUGCUCUAAUUGUGGGGUAAAUCUCCCAUAAGGCUAAAUACCGGCCAGAGACCGAUAGCGCACAAGUAGCGUGAGCGAAAGAUGAAAAGAGCCUUGAAUAAGGGCGUCAAAAAGCAUGUGAAAUUGUUGUGGGGGAAGCGUUCGAUGCCAGACAUGGCGGCGGUUGGUUACCCGGCGUUCUUCGCCGGCGCACUCUGCCGUCGCCAGGCCAGCAUCAGUUCGGAUCGAGGCCUACUGCCAGUGGGAACGUGGCUCUUUCGGGAGUGUUAUAGCCCUCUGGUAACGUCUCGGACCGGACUGAGGACCGCGCUUCGGCUCGGAUGCUGGCGUAAUGGCCUCUAGCGACCCGUCUUGAAACACGGACCAAGGAGUUGACCUAGCGUGCGAGUGUUUGGGUGUCAAGCCCUUACGCGCAGUGAAAGCGAAUGCAGGUGGGAGCUUCGGCGCACCAUCGACCGAUCCUGAAGUUUACGGAUGGAUUUGAGUAAGAGCACGUUGGGUCUGACCCGAAAGAAGGUGAACUAUGCAUGAAUAGGGUGAAGCCAGAGGAAACUCUGGUGGAGGCUCGCAGCGGUUCUGACGUGCAAAUCGAUCGUCAAAUUUGUGCAUGGGGGCGAAAGACCAAUCGAACCUUCUAGUAGCUGGUUCCUGCCGAAGUUUCCCUCAGGAUAGCAGAGUUGAUCCUCAGUUUCAUGAGGUAAAGCGAAUGAUUAGAGACUCGGGGGCGCUAUAUUGCCUUCAUCUAUUCUCAAACUUUAAAUAUGUGAGAAGCCUCGUGUUACUUCGGUGAACGCAGGCCUUUGAAUGAAUCAACUCUAGUGGGCCAUUUUUGGUAAGCAGAACUGGCGAUGUGGGAUGAACCAUACGGGGAUUUAAGGUGCCGGAGUGGACGCUCAUCAGACACCACAAAAGGUGUUAGCACAUCUUGACAGCAGGACGGUGGCCAUGGAAGUCGGAACCCGCUAAGGACUGUGUAACAACUCACCUGCCGAAUGUGCUAGCCCUGAAAAUGGAUGGCGCUAAGCGUCCCACCUAUAAUCCCCCCUCGGGGUAGGAUCGUCGCCCCGAGGAGUAGGCAGGCGCGGAGGUCCGUGACGAAGCCUAGGGCGGAGCCCGUGAUCCU
rnacentral:rRNA from 1 species